rnacentral:rRNA from 1 species
GACGAACGCUGGCGGCGUGCUUAACACAUGCAAGUCGAACGGAAAGGCCCUGCUUUUGUGGGGUGCUCGAGUGGCGAACGGGUGAGUAACACGUGAGUAACCUGCCCUUGACUUUGGGAUAACUUCAGGAAACUGGGGCUAAUACCGGAUAGGAGCGCCUGCUGCAUGGGGGGGGUUGGAAAGUUUCGGCGGUUGGGGAUGGACUCGCGGCUUAUCAGCUUGUUGGUGGGGUAGUGGCUUACCAAGGCUUUGACGGGUAGCCGGCCUGAGAGGGUGACCGGCCACAUUGGGACUGAGAUACGGCGCAGACUCCUACGGGAGGCAGCGGUGGGGAGUAUUGCACAAUGGGCGGAAGCCUGAUGCAGCGACGCCGCGUGCGGGAUGACGGCCUUCGGGUUGUAAACCGCUUUCGCCUGUGACGAAGCGUGAGUGACGGUAAUGGGUAAAGAAGCACCGGCUAACUACGUG